AAAUUGAAGAGUUUGAUCAUGGCUCAGAUUGAACGCUGGCGGCAGGCCUAACACAUGCAAGUCGAGCGGUAGCACAGAGAGCUUGCUCUCGGGUGACGAGCGGCGGACGGGUGAGUAAUGUCUGGGAAACUGCCUGAUGGAGGGGGAUAACUACUGGAAACGGUAGCUAAUACCGCAUAAUGUCGCAAGACCAAAGUGGGGGACCUUCGGGCCUCAUGCCAUCAGAUGUGCCCAGAUGGGAUUAGCUAGUAGGUGGGGUAACGGCUCACCUAGGCGACGAUCCCUAGCUGGUCUGAGAGGAUGACCAGCCACACUGGAACUGAGACACGGUCCAGACUCCUACGGGAGGCAGCAGUGGGGAAUAUUGCACAAUGGGCGCAAGCCUGAUGCAGCCAUGCCGCGUGUGUGAAGAAGGCCUUCGGGUUGUAAAGCACUUUCAGCGGGGAGGAAGGCGUUAAGGUUAAUAACCUUGGCGAUUGACGUUACCCGCAGAAGAAGCACCGGCUAACUCCGUGCCAGCAGCCGCGGUAAUACGGAGGGUGCAAGCGUUAAUCGGAAUUACUGGGCGUAAAGCGCACGCAGGCGGUCUGUCAAGUCGGAUGUGAAAUCCCCGGGCUUAACCUGGGAACUGCAUUCGAAACUGGCAGGCUAGAGUCUUGUAGAGGGGGGUAGAAUUCCAGGUGUAGCGGUGAAAUGCGUAGAGAUCUGGAGGAAUACCGGUGGCGAAGGCGGCCCCCUGGACAAAGACUGACGCUCAGGUGCGAAAGCGUGGGGAGCAAACAGGAUUAGAUACCCUGGUAGUCCACGCCGUAAACGAUGUCGAUUUGGAGGUUGUGCCCUUGAGGCGUGGCUUCCGGAGCUAACGCGUUAAAUCGACCGCCUGGGGAGUACGGCCGCAAGGUUAAAACUCAAAUGAAUUGACGGGGGCCCGCACAAGCGGUGGAGCAUGUGGUUUAAUUCGAUGCAACGCGAAGAACCUUACCUGGUCUUGACAUCCACAGAACUUUCCAGAGAUGGAUUGGUGCCUUCGGGAACUGUGAGACAGGUGCUGCAUGGCUGUCGUCAGCUCGUGUUGUGAAAUGUUGAGUUAAGUCCCGCAACGAGCGCAACCCUUAUCCUUUGUUGCCAGCGGUCCGGCCGGGAACUCAAAGGAGACUGCCAGUGAUAAACUGGAGGAAGGUGGGGAUGACGUCAAGUCAUCAUGGCCCUUACGACCAGGGCUACACACGUGCUACAAUGGCAUAUACAAAGAGAAGCGACCUCGCGAGAGCAAGCGGACCUCAUAAAGUAUGUCGUAGUCCGGAUUGGAGUCUGCAACUCGACUCCAUGAAGUCGGAAUCGCUAGUAAUCGUAGAUCAGAAUGCUACGGUGAAUACGUUCCCGGGCCUUGUACACACCGCCCGUCACACCAUGGGAGUGGGUUGCAAAAGAAGUAGGUAGCUUAACCUUCGGGAGGGCGCUUACCACUUUGUGAUUCAUGACUGGGGUGAAGUCGUAACAAGGUAACCGUAGGGGAACCUGCGGUUGGAUCACCUCCUUA
rnacentral:rRNA from 1 species